GCCUUCGUGGUGUACUGGUCAGAACACUGGGCGCGUAUUCCAGAGGUCCGGGGUUCGAGUCACGGCGAAGGCG
rfam:Stegodyphus mimosarum contig43871, whole genome shotgun sequence.